CCAGUUUGUGAUUAUGAUAAAGUAGCAUGUUUUGUGUUAUACAUAUAUUUAGUUUUAGUAUAGAUUAAAUAAGUGUAGAAUUAACGAUUUUGACACCAGAAAUAGGUUUAAAGGAAAUAAUAUACAAGAAAGUGUAUAGUGUCUGGAUACAAUGAUGUGUCUGUGAGUGAACAACUGAAGACAGGUAUCGGAAGUUACACUAUCGAAAACAAGUUCUGGAAGCCUGGAACCUCAUCAUCACGAUCUGAAGUUAUGCUUCCUCAAGUCAAGCAAGUCGCCUGCAUAGACGUCCAACGUCCAGAACGCUCGACUACCCCUGGCUAUACGGCAUCCCGAGCAACAUGCUGCACUUUGGAAGGCAUAUGGAGUCGCUUCCAGGACUGGAACAGUUUCCAGCCUCUCCAGACGAAUAACGUACAGUCUGACGUUACAAACACGAACAUGCCUUUGGUUGUGCAAAUCAUCUUUCAAGAUACAAAAUUAGUGAAGAUUACUGUCUUCUGAGAUCGAACGCCGUGUAGUCUUGUAAAUAGUUGCAAACGUUUCGGAGUAUAAUACUGUCCCUAUUUUCAUGGAAGAAGGGUAACGCUUCAUACUACGUAUUUUGUACUUCUCACUAAAUAUCACUAAGCCAAUAAAAUCAAAGAAAUGAGAAAGAAAGAAAGAAAGAACAUUUAGCACAUGUGGGAUAGAAGAAAAAUUCAUACGUAUAAAUUGUUGGUAGGAAAGCUGAGGGAAAGAGACCGCUUGGAAGACCUAGUCGUAGAUUGGAGGAAAAUAUCAGAAUUAAUCUUAAAUAAAAAGAAUUGGAGGACAUGGAUUGGAUUCAUCUGGCUCAGGAUAUGAAUAGGUACCCGGUUAUGAAGAGUAUGAUGUUGCGGUUUCUAAUAACGUGUAAUUCGGAGAGAUACCGACGUUUCGGAGAAAUACUGUCUCCAUCUUCAGAGUUGCUAAUAAUCCAAGCGAGGAACCAGCAGAAGCAGGAGUCAGUAGUUUCUUCCUUUGCUUCCUCUUCAACCCCUGAAGAUGGAGGCGGAUUGUUCCUCCGAAAAGACGGACUAUCAACUAGUAACACGGCAUUACAACCCGGGAGGCCCGUACUGUUCAGAGAACCUCAAAUGCAACACAACAAUGAACCAUCAGAUAGAAUGCUGGACGUUUCUUGCGUAGUUGAGCGGCUGUUGGGUUCUCAAGGACUCUGCUGUGUGGGGCUAGUUUGUUAGUAAGACGUGAGAUCUAUUUCUGUAUAUAUAUAAUAUGCUUUAAAACGUCAAGAACAAAUCACAGGACAACUUUACGAAGAUGGGAAUUGGAAACUUCCAUGAAAUAGGUUUAAAGGUUUUAGGGUCUGUCCUACCACCAAACGCUUCCCACUUCAGAACUGCAGAUAAUUCCGAAAGGAUGACUGUGCACACAGUUGGUGGCAUGGGGUAUCGCAUUUUAUGCGGGGCCGAGGUGUGGGUUAGGCUUGGAAACCCCCCCUGUAGGUGGUCUGUGGUGGAAAACCCGCUGUGAGGACCCCUGGACCAUAAAAAAAUUACCUAUCAACCAGGGUUGACAGCGGGCAAACGUGAGGCAUAAAAGGGUUUAGAAAAGAUAGAAAAAAACGACUUGGAAGAUAUUUUUUAUAUGAAGUACACACACACAGACAGAGAGAGAGGAUAUGGUUUUUUUAUUUAAAUCUUUUGUGAAAGGGUUUUGUGGGUAUGCUUUGGAGUGGCCAGUGAUGAAGGGUUAAAAAUUAAAACUUGUAAAGGGGUUAGUGGGAAGAAGGGGAGGGAUUGAAGGGUGCUAGUGUGCUCCACCUUUUCUAGACACCUCUCAGACGGGUUUCAUCCUGAUGCCUCUCAGGAAGCAGCGCUACCGAGCUGCGGGAUGAGCAGCGACUACCCCAACUCUGUGAGUGGCUCACUCCGUAGUCCAGUCGGCAGACGUUACGAGUUCAGUGCUCAUUUGGUUUGAUAGCCUCUCAGUUCCGUGUUUGAGGGUUACAUGUCAUGUUUAUGUCUUAAGUAAAUGUAAAAGUAUAAUUUUCCCUGUGUUUAAUUAAUUAAGCACCACGCCAUGAGCAGUGGUAUAGCUCCACCA